GCUUGUCUCUCAAGUUUCUACAGCAGUAGAAAAAGACUCAAUGUGGCUUAAACAGGGUUAAUUAUUUCUGAAGAUCGUUCCAGCUAUUGGCUUUCUGAGUCAUAUUGAUAGAAAUGGCUCAGCUGAAAUUUUCUUGAUGGAUCAGGAUGAUAUAUAAACUGAGAUCAGAUUCAGGUAUUUAUCUCUACUAUAUUCAAAGAUCUCUUCAGGCUUGUCUGUUUUGUUGCUGGGAUCUGCAAGGUAAAAAUAGAACAGAGAAAAUAGAGGUGAGAUGCUGAGAACUGUUGGAUGUGUUUUACAUGAGGAAUUUGAAAUGCUAUGGGAAAUUCACCUUUACCAGAACAAAAGGUGAGGAAAGAAGGAAAUAGAAAUAAUUCACAGUCCCUCACCUGAGUGACAGACUCUAUUUACUGCUACUUGUAAUGUCCUGUGUGAUAAAG